rnacentral:rRNA from 1 species
UACGUAGGGGGCAAGCGUUGUCCGGAUUUAUUGGGCGUAAAGAGCGUGUAGGCGGCUAGAUAGGUCCGUUGUGAAAACUCGAGCUCAACCUCGAGACGCCGGUGGAAACCAUCUAGCUAGAGUCCGGAAGAGGAGAGUGGGAAUUCCUGGUGUAGCGGUGAAAUGCGCAGAUAUCAGGAAGAACACCCGUGGCGAAGGCGGCUCUCUGGUACGUGACUGACGCUGAGACGCGAAAGCGUGGGGAGCGAACAGG